UCGUACAACUUUCUUUGGUGACAACAUUUUACGUUGCAUUUUCCCUUCAGCAAAGUUGUACGAUACAAAGUAACAAAGACAUCGCUUUACCAGAUCUAGCUGAAAGAAAUGGACAGAGACUGGAAAAUUGUUGCAAUAUCUGCCGAGACACACCUCAGUGCCAGGGAUAUGCGUGGAAUGACUACAGAGGUGGUGCCUGUUGGUUGAAGGCUGGAACUGGUCCAAUCGUUCAAAAGAACGGGGUUAGUGUCGGAACUUUAGGU